rnacentral:tRNA from 2 species
GCCCGGAUGGUGAAAUAGGUAGACACAAGGGACUUAAAAUCCCUCGCCUGUAAUGGGCAUGCCGGUUCGAUUCCGGCUCUGGGCACCA